rnacentral:lncRNA from 1 species
GAACUAUCAAGCUCACCAAGGUAAAGUUGCUCUCAAUUCUAACUAAUAGUAGUUUAAUCACUUGGUUAAAGUUAGAUUUAGCUGUUGAUUUUAGAUUAAGGAUUUAACGAAGAAUGCUUAUGGAAGGAUAAAUGGUUAUUAGUCUAAGACAUUAUUAAAGAACAAGGUAUUUAUGAUGGAAACUUUGUGAUAAGUGUUGUUGAAGAAGUUUGAGAUCUUGGAGAAGUAGAGCUACCAACGAAAGGUGCUAUGAGGAAAGACACACUUUAGCAAGAUGGGUAGAUACAAUGUUUUUAAUUUUUUUGAUAUAAUUAAGCUUGCUUAUUCUACAACCUUGCAUUAAAACAUGUUUCGAUGAUUUGUGAUGUGAAAGAUGGUUUUAAGUAUGUUUUGAUGUAGGCUAUAUUUGCUAUUUAAAUAUGUCUAUUACGUAUUUAGUUUUGUGCAUGAGGAACAAGCACUUUGAACGUUUUGAUAUCUUAAAACUGAAAUAUUUGUCUAUGAUUGUUUGAACGAAUUGAUGAUUUUGAAUCUUUGAAAUGAGAAAUGAUUUUCUUGGAUGAGACCACGAUACUUCAAGAUGAUGGAUUAAGUUGAUGACAAUGAUUUAAUCUUGUUCAACCCCUUUGAUUUUGUUGUUGAAUGGAUCCACCCCUUUGUGUUGGAAAUGAACAUUUGGACAAUUGGAAACUUAUAAAGAUGUUUUAGUGGAGCUUAGUUAAAUUAAGGACCCUAGCUAGCUACUGUCUAAUUUUUUACUCACGUAAGUAUAUGUCUCGAGUAGAUAAUAUAAUGACAAGUAGAGUGUUGACCCCAUAAAGAAUUGAUCUAAGAUUUCACUAAUUACUAGAAUUAAUACAAUUCAGUCUUAUUCAAACAAACAAAAGCAAGGAACUAAAUAUAUUAUAAGUUAACUAAAUCUAAUUAACAAGAAUUUAAACUAAAAAAAUCAAAGCAGUAAUAAAAUUGGAUAAAAAUAAACUCAAACAAGCCUAAGAUUACAAUAUUCUUCACACUUUAUCUAAAUCGUACCUUUCUCUUUUAACUUAUUUCAAUGUGUUGAAUUGCUAACUUAAAGUCCUUAAUUAUUUAUAAGGUUCUCUCGAAACUCUUAUAAAAAUAUAUUUUAAUCAAAACACUAUAUCAUUAUAUGUAUUGAAAUUAAAAUAGACUCAUUAAGUUAAAGCUCUAAUACUGGCUACAUAUGGCAUAUAGGUAUAUCUCUAUCCUAUACACAAAUCAAUUUAUUCAUCGAAGCAAAUAAAUAUAAGCAUAUGCCAUUCAAACCUUAUCCUACACUAAACUCCUUUUCUCAAGUUAUGCUUAAGUUUCCUGAUCAAUUUAAUUGGUGAUUAAGCAAUUAAAAAAAUUAAGAACAAAUUGGAAUAAACAAUUCAAUUCCACUGAAAAUAAGCAAAAAAGAGAUUAAAAAUUUAAACUACAUGUGAGUUCGAUUGCAAUCCUAGAUAAAAGAAAUUAACUACUCAUGAUGAAAAUAAAGAACAAAAAUCAAUGGAGUUUACCCAUCUCAAAAAAAAGAAACAAGAAAAAUAGAGAGAGAAAGAAAACUAGAGAUUGGUGAUCUUCAAUCUUCCAUGGUUGAUCUUAUUUUUCUACUUAAGUUUUUGGUGGCUAAUCUCCGUCCAAAACAACCUAAAACUGAUUUCCUCUAGCUUCCCUUUCAAUUUGACUUCAUAAAGAUGUAUUUAUAGGGUUCAUAGACAUAAUUUCAGUCUUAAUUUGAGCUCUGGUCUUCUAAAAGGCAUCUUUGCAAUCUUAAGGUGCCGCGACAUUGAUUUGUAGUGCAUUUUUAUCCUUCUGCUGAGCAGAACUGGGCAAAGUGGUAAACAUGAAAGUUGUAGCUCUGCCUCUUAGCUUUUUAAUGGUUUAACAAUCAUGUCAUUUGGACUUUUGUAUAGUGGGAGAUAUACUCUAAAAACCAAAACAUGUGUAGAGGAAGUCUGCACUUAGAAUGCACUUUCCUAGUCCAAUUAAAAGUCUUUCAAAGCACACAUUCAAAAGCACAAUUUAAUUAAUAGUAGCUUUUCUUAAGCAAUUUAACAUUUAACUUAGCCUAAAAUAAUCUAAAUUCAAUUGACCCAACAUAAUUAACUAUAAUUAAAUUAAUAACUAAAAACAACUAAAAUCUAUGCUAAAACUAAAGAACCUAGCAACUUAAUAGCUAAAAUUAAGACAAAAAAACUCUAUAUCACAGAGUUAUCACACAUCCAAACUUAAAAUUUGGCCAGUCUUCAAGCAAAACAUAAAAAAAAUGAAACAAAAGCGAAAGCAAUUUAAAUGAUGAAAUCAACAUAAAUAAACAAACUAACUAGAGACAAAUAGUGCCAAAUCAAUGAUCUUGAUAAUUUUCUCAAAAAUAUAUCUAUAAACAUCCAGAUCAUUCAAGUUCAUAUUUCAAUUCAAUUACGAGCUCAUUCUUGAAUGGAUUUGUGUGUGUGUGUGUGUGAAAUCUUUUACAAAAAACAUCAUACUUAUUCGAAUGAGUUUAUGUUAUUGCACAAUUUUAAAUUAGUGCUAGAACUCCAUAGGUUUGUGUUUCUUCUCUCUUUCCACUAAUGUAGAUGAAUACUAAGUUAAGGAUCAAUAGAUAUUUAUUAAGCUUGUAAUGUAUGGCUAAGGUGAAGGUAGGAUAGAGGAUAAUAAUUUGGCUCAAUUCACCCUAAACACACAAUCAUACUAGGACCUAUAAAUAGCUCUAUUCUCAUUCUCCACAUACACCUUUUUUUUUUUUUUCAUUUUGAACUUUUCUUUUGUUUAACACUUUAUUCUUCUUCUUUUUAUUUUUUUUAAUCACAAUUUCACAUCUCCAGACUUAUUUCUUUUUAUUAUAGGUAAAGGGGUAAUUUGUUUUUGUCAACAACUUCAACUUUUUCUACCUUUUUUCACAUUUAGCUUAAUGCAUUUCCUGAAAUGAUAUACAUGCUUAAAAGUAAGGGUUGCCAAAUUGGAAAUUUUAUUUAAAGGCUAGGCUCCUUUAUUAUGUGGUUAACAAAGAAAGGGGAAUUAGGCUUAAAAGGGUAUACUAGGGAUAAAGAUUUAAUAAGGUUAGCUUGAAAAGCUAAAAUGGUCCAAAAAUGGCAUAAAUCAUCUCUCUAACUAAGUAUUGUUUAAGAUUUCGCCUUGAGAGAGAAGCAAACAAAUUCUAGAAUUCUUAACAUAAUAUAAAAUUUACAUCAAUCUAAACAUUCUCUAGAUAUGCAUAAUAAUGCAAAGUAAAAGAUAAAGUGCUCAAUAUAUGUAGAAAUCACAUCCUAAUAAUGAUAUUAAACAAAAGAUUUAACAUUAAUCAAACAAUAUCCAUAUUCACCAAGAGCUAAAGACAGAAGAUAACUAAAUUCUCAUAAUUGGAUAAGGAAAUUAUUGAAAAUUUUGGCACUAUUUUUCUCUAGAUCUGAAAUUUUCAAGGAAGCAUAAAAAGUAAAUGAUAAACUAAUCCUAAUUACUUAAAAUCUAAAUAAGCAUGCAAAUAAAAUAAAAUUUUAAGUUUCCACAGAAUAUCCAUUCGCAGAAAAAUAAAUUCACCCUCCAAACUUAAACUAAACAUAGUCUUCAAUAUUUGAAAAAAAUAAAAGAAAGGUAAAGAAUACUCCCCUAGUGGUUGGAUGAAUUGAAGAAGCUUUAAUCUUCCUCCUCAUAUUCAUUUACACCAAUGCUUGUGGGAGGCCUUUUUUUCACUGAAAAUAAAUAAAAAAAAAUAAAAUAAAAAUAAUUAAAAAGAUAACAUAUGAGUUUUGAAAGCUUGGGUUGCUUCCAAAAAAGUGCUUCUUUGUAGUCACUAGUUUGACUUUGACGGAGGUCUUCAUUCACCAUUUAAGGAGGUUUGAGUUUACAUGGAAAAAGCUUGAGGUGUGAAAGUAGCCUUUUUCUAAGAUGAGGUUAUAGUGGUUUUAACUCAAGAUUUAGUACUUGCUCAAUCCAAGGUGGUGGAAUAGGUUGACUUAUACCCAACUUCUCAAAUUGAGUUUUUCUGGAAUAAUUGCACUUUUGGUAUAACCUUCAAAACAUGUGUAACAUUUGUGAGUUCUUUAUUCUUGUCUUUUGUCGUUGCAUCUAGUACCAAACAAGCUUAAAGGAGUUUUUUUGGAUUUUUCAUAUCAACAGCCUCCUUAGGUAACUCAUUAAUUGUAUCCAAAAAGGGAAUGGGAGGCACAUAUGUCUUAACUUGUGGUGUUGUAUACACUUCCUCCUUUUGCUUUAUUUUUUCAUCUCGAACUUGAUUGCUUGAAGUAUUUCCUGUUAAGAAGUUUGAGAAUAUGGUUCCUUGGAAAGCAAGUAUAUUCUCAUGCUUAAUUUCAUUAAAUUUGUAAUGAAAGUACAUUUUGAUAAUAAGACGAAGAGUUUGUUUUAAGUAAGCAUUCAUUAUCUAGUUAUUAAGGUACCAUGAUUCUAUUGAGAUAUUAAAAUACAUUUGUAAGAAGAGUCAUACAUAGGAGACAUGUAUUUUAAUUGAACCUAAAAAUUGUUCAUAGCCAUAUAAUAAAGCUGGUCACUUUAUUGUGUUAAGGCUAUAGUGUCUAGAUUACUUCCAAUGAAAUGAAUGUGAUUCACUUCAAGGGAAUGAUGAGUCUCAAAUCAUUGAAAUGGUGGAUUAUGAGUAUGACACUAUAACAUGGACUUGAAUCAUGUGAGAAUCAAAUUUAAGUUUAACCGUUACUUAAAUUUUGAUUUCACACUUAUGCAUUUGCUUAUAGUAGAACCGUAAUCCUAAUGGAUAGUGGACCUAUGUUUAAUCUCCUUAAAAUCUUUGAUUUGCCAUGAGCAUGAUCAUCAUAAGUGUUGAUCUAGACUUCGUAUUUUGAGAUUAUAAUCGAGAUGAACAUCUGAGAACAUAUAUCCAAAUAAUGGAGUUCAUAGCAUUAACAUCACUUUUAGUGUUUUUAGGAAGAUUGGUGAUUAAUUUGGGCCCAGUGGAUUGAUGAAUUAGCUACUCAUCACAUCUAGAUUGUCACGACCCGGAACCUCCUCGGGCCCAUGACAACCGUCGCAACGUUUCGAUUGAUACUCAUUACCCGGAAUACCAAUCGAAACCCCGUAAGGCUUACAUAUCAGUUUUAAACAAUUUUCAGUCGUUUUCGGCUCAAGUAAAUCAAAAGACAAAAAUAUAGCAUUUUUAUAUAAAACAAUAUUUAUAGAAACAUGUGUAAGUAAUCUUUUGUAACUUAGAAGUAAAAUAAAUUCAUACAUACAAUAAUUUACAAAGUUAUAAUGUACAAUAAUAAUUACAAUGACAAGUGGCCCAUAAAUACACCAAGUGUUAGUGAUAGUAACCUACUAUCUAUAUGAUAGAGGGGUCAACUGGAAUCCUCCACAAAAUCAGGUAUCUACAAGCUACCACAGGGUUGAAAUAUUUGGAAAGGAGGUGGGUGAGAUUUUGUAAUCUCAAUGAGUAAACAUACAUUAUCAUAAAUAUCUAAAGGCGAGUAAAAUGGAGGCAAGUUUAAACAACAAAUUACAAACCAUUUCAUAAGGUUUUCAAUUUAUUUCUUAAACCAUAAAAUAUUUGUAAUUUACCAAAACAGUUGUUAAGGCUUAUAAAUUUUAUUAAAAACAAGACUCAAGCCAAAACUAAUCCUCGGGGAUACCUUGGCCAAGGCAUCUAACCGAGUCCGCCAAGGUUGUUAAGAUAUUUACAUGUCAAACACAUGUUAGUUUUGAAAACAAGCCGUUCCUUGGCGUUGGCCAAGUUACACAUUCAGUGGGGGUUCGACGUGAAGUGAGCUCUAACACUACCCCGAGAGUUACCCUCCUCGCCUCUACAAUCGGAGUAACUAUAUAACCGGGUUUACCGUGGCCCUCUAAUAGGCAGUCCACGAAAACCCGUCACUGCAGUGACUAAACCCACCAAUUUUAAUAAAAUUUCAACAGUAUAACGUGGCUUUUAUUUAUUUACCCACCCUGCAUAGUAAAAGACAGCUUACAUAAAUUCCCAAUGCAAUUAUAACAUAUAGACACAUAUACUCAUAUAUCAUAAGCCAUUCAUAGGAAAAUAUAUAUUUCAAAAUAAUUGGCAGCCUCCAAUUACUCAAUUUCAUAAUCAACACAAUAUAUUUUUAUUUGUUACAUUUAUUUCUAAAACAUAAAAAAUCUCAUUUUAAUCUCAUUUUCGUUUCAUAAAAUCCAUGAAGAGCAUUUAAAAAUAAACUCUAGAUAAUUUAUAAUAAUAAUAGGUUUACUCACCAUUUGUACAAACUAAUUGCUUUUUAGGUGCCCUGAUCACUAUUCGUCGGGUACGACUUCCUUGCCUUCAUCGGAAGGCUCUCCUCCUAAACACAUUGCAAAAUUUACCCAAUUCACCACAUUGAUGUUAAAUCACUAUAUAAUUGACUUAAAUUCUAUACUAAUGCAUGGUAUGAAAUGCAAUAGCCUAAAACGGCUUAAACGUGGUAUUAACUUAUUUUUGGCACUUUACCCGAUAAAUUGCUAACGCGCUCCAUUUUAGCUCUAAAUUGUCUCAUUUUCUCUCCAACAUUUCUAACCAUUAAAUAUCAGCCAAUAACCUUCUAAAAUCACCAAAAUCAGCUCACUUUCCUCCUUGGAAAAUUCGGUCAAAAAUGGGACAUUUACUCGGUUAAUUUUUCACUUUGUUUUGCUAUCACAUUUAACCAUUUUUCAUCAUUUUCUCUUCAUUUCUCUUAGAACAAAAAUCAGUUCAUCAUCAUUGUACAUCAAUGCAUAUUCUGCCAAGGGUGAGUAUUGUGAAAAUUUCAUGCUUUCUUGCCCAAUUUGAUUUCUAUACACAUUUAACUAACUAAAACUAUCAAUUUAACUAAAAAUCAAAACCUAAAAAAUUCAAAAUCUCUCCGCUUGAAAUUCGGCCAGCCCUUGGUUUCAAUUUUUGAUCUCUCUCCUCAAGCAUGCUAAAUGGCAAUAAAGGCAUAGGAAAGGUAGAAAUCAAGCUAAAGUCGAAAAAUCUUAUCGUUAGACGCAUAAACAGACGAAAAACGCGAUUUUCUCUUUAAAUUUUCUAGUUUUCCUUUGGUUUUUCUCUUUUCUUCCUUUCCUCUCUAUUUUCUCUCUUGUUCUCUCCUUAUGGCCGGCCAUCACUUAAUAUGGGGUUUAAAUGGGCUGACUUUUCAUUAAAAUAAUAUUAAAUUAUUAAAAAGUGCCAGUGUCACUUUCCCAUUGGCCCCUUUUUAAAAUUUCAUCCAUUAAACUUCUAUUUUUCACCACUUGAAAUACCAUAGUUAUUCAUACCAAAAAUAAAUAAAUCCUAUAAUUUUGACAAGUUUUGGGUCGUGAAAAUUAUGGUUUUUACCCCGGGGUGACAAAAUUACCGUUUUGCCCCUAUGUUUUGAAAAUUGCCGAAAUUGAAAUUUUUCACUUCCUAUCAUUAAAUUAUACUCCAAAUAGUUAAUCUUGGUCAAAAUUUCACUCCAUGAUCAAAUUGUUAUCUUAGGUGGCAAAAUGACGAUUUUGCCCUUGAACAUCAAAAUUUUCAAUUUUUUCCCAAAUGAACCCUCGAACUCCGAACAAUCAUUUUUAGUCAUUUCUGGACUGUAAAAUAUUAAAUUUCAUCCUACGAUUCCUAUUUGAAUUAGUUCGAGGUUAAAUCAACUUAAGUGUACCGUUAGGUACAAUAUUGGGUUUCGUAUAUUCUUAGGAACUUUCCUAGCGUGAUAACAUGCUACUCAGUGCAUGUAUGUCAUGACAUGUGUUUAUAGGGUCGGGUUUUACAUAGAUACUUAAAAGACUAGAUCUAAAGUAUUGAAUCACUAAUUGGAUGCAAUUUGAGACCAAGGGACAAAAUUGACCUAAAGGGUAAAACGAUAAUUUCACCUUUUGUCAUUGGAUGGUUAUGAGGGUUCACAAUAUAAGGUUUGCAACUAGACAACUAAUAAUUAAUAUCAAGUAUUGAAUUAUUUCUUGCAAUUAUAGUUAAUCUAAUAGUGCAACCAUGAAUCUGUGGUGGAGUGAUUUUAAGGUUAAUAAGCUUGAAUUAUUUUUAAUGAGAUUAAGAAUAUUUCUAAGUUUAUUGGAGCUUAGAAUAUUUAUGUCCAAAUAGAUUCCCCACUUAGCUUCAUAGAAUUCAACUUGUUUAAGCUGCAAUGCAUGAUUUAAUUUGAUUAAUUAAAUUAUGUACAAAAAUGGCAUCUUUAGUAUAUUUGUUUUAAUUUAGACAAGAAAAUAUGUUUGGUCUUAAUUUAGACAAGAAAAUAUGUUUGUCUUAAUUUAAGACAAGAAAAAUAUUUUUUGUAUUAAUCUAGACAAGAAAACAUAUUAGUCUCAAUUUAGACAAGAUAAAAUAUUUUUGUCUUAAUUAAAGACAAGAGUUGUUUUAAAUUAAGAUAAUGCUAGGAAGAUUCUUGUAAAAUGAAUUUAGACAUCCAUAUUGAUGAAAUGAGAGGCCAUGCUUGACUAUCACUCUUUCAUUUAUUAUUAAUUCUUUUUAAAUAAAGAUGGAUAAUAAUAAAUUAAGAGUUAUUAUUCAAUAAAGAGUUUUAUUUUAUCAAUAACCCUAAAUGAUACUAAAAGAAUUAAAUUAUUUAUUCUUUAAUUUUAAUUUUGAGAAUUAUGGAGCAUGUUUGAUGCUUCCAUAACUCUCAAUGGAUGGUUAAGAUUGAUUCAAAGGUAUUUGAUUUUGAUUAAAUCUUUGAGGCAAGAGUUUUAAUAAAAAAGAAAAGAGAUUGGAAGAAAAGAAAGGUACGUACUUUUUUCUUGAAAAAGUUUCAAUCGUCACUUCACUUCUCCUCCUCCAAACUUUGCCAUAUCUUUCUUCCUCUCUCCUAUUCUUGGCUGAAUUAUUUUGAAAGAAAAUAGCCAUUAAUAUUUAGGAAGAAGAGAGAGACAAAAUCGGUUGCCAUCUUAUAGUCUAGCAUUUCACACUGCGUCCACUCAAGGUUCAAGUUGAAAGCAUUCUUGAAGAAUAAGUGGUAAAUUUGUUUGGUUGAGAAAUCAUUCAUUGGUUUGGUGGCGUCCAAAGAUAAUAAUCUCAAAAUAAAAAGUAUGUUUUUUCUUACUUAAUAGAUUCUUACUUUUUUUAGGAUGUAAUUAUGUUACUUGCAAUAAGAAUGAUGAGUAUUUCCACUUGUGUAAUUGGAUUGCUUGCUUUCUUUAUAAAAGAAAUUUUUUGAAAUGCAUGCUUUACACAAUCACAUCAAUCUACUAAGAUCCUACUCCAACAUUUCCUUGAUCUACUUUAUCUCCACAUUCUUGCCAUUUACCUCAUCAAGAUGCUUACCAUAUUCUUUUCUUCUAUGAUUAGGCUCAGUGCCACUUGGUAAAGUUUCCUGAAGUCUAUUGUUGACGUCAUUAAUAAGUUGACUCACAUGUGUCUCAAUAUUUCUCAUUAAGCUUCAUUACUAUAAAUGACCACAUCCAUAUUUGCCAUGUGUUGCAUAAACAUCUUUUCCAAAGUUGGCUUUGGUUAGUUAAAUUUCUACCUACGAAAAUAUACGUAUAAAAAAGAUAGUAUAAUGGUAAGUAGAGUAUCGAUCCCACAGAGAAUUGAUCUAAAAUUUUACUGAUUACUAAAAUUAGAACAAUUUAAUCUUAUUCAAACAAUCAAAAUUAAUUAAUUACCUAAAACUAAUUGCCCAAAAUUUAAACAAAAAAGAAAAAUCAAAAUAAUAAUAACUUGAGUAAAAAUCAAAUCAAACAAGCCUAGGAUUACAAUAUCCUUCACACUUCAUCUAAAUCUUACCUUUAUUCCUUAACUUAUUUCAAUAUGUUUAAUUGCUAAUUUAGAGUCUUCAAUUAUUUAUAAGGGGCUCCCAACUUGUCUUAUAAAAACAUCUAUUUUAAUCAAAACACUAUAUCCUUAUGUGAAUUGAAAGUAAAUAGACUCAUUAAGUUCAAGCUAUAAUUCUAGCUACCUAUUGCAUAUAGGUAUAUCCCUAUCCUAUAUACAAAUCAAUUAAUAUGAUAACAUGCUAUCCCAAUUUUAGUUUUUAAACUCCCUUUCCCAAGUUUGUUAGGUUCCUAGAUCAAUUUCAUUGGUGGCCAAUCAAUUAAAAAACAUUAAGAACAAAUUGGAAUAAAUAAUUCAAAUCCCAUUAAAGAUAAGUAAAAAAAAGAUUAAAAAUUUAGAUUACAUGUGAGUUCAAUUGCAAUUGUAGAAAAAUAAAAUUAGCUACUCAUAAUUGCAAAGACAAAUAACAAUAUAUAAUUUCAACCAUUGAGAGUAACAAGAAAAAUAAAAACGAAGGAAGAAAACAAAACAAUUAUUUGCAGCCUUGUUUUCCGAGUUUCUACCUCAACUUUCGACUUCUUGAAUCUCUAAGAGUUGUCUACCUUAAUUUCUCUAAAAACUAUCCUAUUUAUUCUAACAAUCUCAACUUAAAAUUCCUAAGUUAACCUACUGACUCUAACUUUUGGGCUCAAAAGUGUAAUGAGGCUCAAACAUCAAAUAUCAUCCUUAAAAUUGCCAUUUCUGUAGCAUUACAUCUAGUCAUCUUCCGAUAUGAUUUUCUCUAUCUUCGAUGCAGAACUAGGCAAAGUCAUCUUCAGGAAAGUUGUAGCUUGUCUCUUAGAUUUCCAAUGGUGUAAGAAUCGCAUCAUUUGGAUGUAUGGAGUGUGAGUUAUGGUCAAAACACUAAAGUAUAUGCAAGUAGAAUUCUAGAUCCUUCAAACACCUUACUUUCCAAAAUUAAGGCCUAUUCCCUUAAAUCCUACAAAAGUAUAAAAACUAAUAAAUAAUAGCCCAAUUAAAGUGAAUAAACAUAAAGUUAAAAUAAUUGACUAAAAAUAAACUAAUUAUAAAAACAACUAAAAAUAAUUGAAUUAUUAUUAAAACUUAAGGAUUUAGCUAAUAAUUAAGAACAAAAUGAGAUUAAAAUAAUUCUAUAAAAUAGAAUUAUCAUACCUUUAGACUUAAGCUUUUGCUAGUGCUUGAGCAAAAGGAAAGAAAACAAAGAAAAUAAAGAAAAAAUAUUUCAAGAGAUAAACAUUCACCAAGUCAUGAUUUUUCAUUUUUUCCUCAAAACUUAUCUCGUAAUUCUAACUUAAGGUAAAAUACAGAUAAUUUUCAAAUUCAUACAUCAAUUCAAAUGAAAACUUACUCUUGAACAAACUUCCUAUAUGUGUGAAUCAUCUCUUAUAAAGAAUAUCAUGCAAUUUGGAAUACUUUAUGCCGAGUCUAAGUAUAGGUUAGUACUAGAAUCCAAUAAGUUUGUUUUUCAUUUCUUUCUCCACUAAUAUAGAAGAACACUUAUUCAAGGAUCAAUAGGUCUUUAUUAAGCUUAUAAUGUAAGGCUAGGGUCAAGGUAUGAUAAAGGAUAUAUUUAAGUUCAAAUUCACCCCAAACACUUAACCAAUCUAGGAACUAUAAAAAGCUCAAACAAAUAUAUAUAUAUAUAUAUAUAUAUUUGGGUAAAAUACUCUUACUCUCUUAAAUUUUAAUCGAAAUUACUCAAAGGUCCAUUAGUUUUCAAAAUGGACACCCCUUCCCAAAAAAAAUAUUUUCUACUGGACUCAUAGGUCCAAUUGUUAGUCAAUUAUUAGUAUUUCUAUCAACUUGCUGAUGUGGUAAGGCUAAAAAGAUAAUUUUACCCUUGAUUAAUUUUUAAAAUUACUAUUAUAUAAAUUUAUUUUUUUUAUUAAUUAAAAAAAACUCCCAAGAUGGGGAACUUGAUAUGGGGCUCCCUAAGGGAGCAUCGGUGUUCCUGUAAAGCCCGACCUUAUAAAAUACUAGUCAUUACAUACAUGUGAUGAUAGCAUGAUUGCAUGCUAGGAGAGUCUUGAAAAAUUUACAAAAGUCGGUAUUGUACCUAGAGGUACAACAAAGUUGAUUGAAUCCUCGAACUAGAUCAAAUAGGAAUUUUAAGGUGAGAUUAAGAGUAUCAUAGUCCAAAGAUGACUCAAAAUGGUAAUUCGGAGUUUGAGGAUCAAUUUUGAGUCAAAUCGAAAUUUUCACUAUCUAGGGGCAAAAUGGUCAUUUGCCACUUGGGGACAAAAUGGGAAUUUUAAAAAAGAUUUUUUUGGCCCCAUUUGACUUAUUGGAGUAUAAUUUGACUUAUUGGAGUAUGAUUUGAGGUUUAGAAGUGAAAAAUUUUAAUUUUGGUAUAAGUUGGAGUAUAGGGGUAAAAAGGUAAUUUUGCCACUCCAUGGGAAAAUUUGUAAUUUUCCACCACCAGGAUAUUUUUUCCAGCACAUGGUCUUCCUUUAUUCUGAUUUUUGACCUUUGACUAAUCAUGUGGUGGAGAUAAAAUGUUUAAAUUUUUAAAAUUUUAAAAAUAGACCAAUUAGAAAAUGCCAUGUGUCAAGCUUAAGAUAUUUUAUUAUUUAACUUAAAAAUCAGCAUAAAUCAGCCCAUUAUUCUUCAAAUAUUCAGCCAAGCAAGGUAGAGAGGGAAAGAAAGGAAAAGCAAACCCUAGGUGAGGAAUUUCAAGAGAAAAAGUGUGGAAAAUCAAGGAAAACAAGUGAAAAAGGUAAGAUUUUUCAACUUGAGCUUGAAAUCUAUUUUUCUUAAGCAUUUCUCUUCAUUUUCCAUGCUUAAGUUACAUGUUUUUAUGAUAAAUUGUUGGCUGAUCAAAAUGGGUUAGGAGAGAGAAAGUUGUUGGAUUUAUUUGAUUUUAAUUUAUGUUAGUGUUUUUAGUUAGUUUAGCAUAUUUAGAAACAAAACAACAAGAAAAGAAUUUAUUUUCUCCCCCAACCAUUAAUGGCUGAAUUUACCAUGUAGUGAGUGAGGAUGAGUUUGAUUUUUAUUCUAGGAGAAUUGGCUAAGGAAUGAUGAAUUAUGAGCCUAGAAAAAUAAUGGGAAUUUUCGGAACAAAAAUACGAAUUUUUACCCACUAGGGGUAUUUUCGUAAUUUGCUAUUGGGACUGAUAAUUUGCACCACACUGAGGGACAUUGAGUCAAUUUGGGUGCAAUUGUGGUAUAGAGACUGAAAAAAAUUAAUUUGGAGUUUAAACGGACGCAUUAGGAAUUUAAUCGGGUGAUAAGACAAAUUAGGCCAAUACGGGGUUUAGAUAGUUACCAGUGCAUUUUUGCAUUCCAUAUCAUGCAUUGGUAGUCUAAAUUAGUUUAAUUUCGAUUUAAUACCAAUUUGGUAAAUUUCUUGAUUUUGUACUGUGUGAAGGUGGUGAGUCCUCCGAUAAAGGCAAGGAAAUUGCAUCCGAGGACUAGUAGACAAAGUACUUUGAAAGUCUGCACUCUAGACAUUAUAAGUAAACUUACUGUCAUUUUAAUUAUCUAGGGUGGAUUUUUAGAUGAUUUCAUGAAUUCUAUGGAAAAAGGAAUUUAAAAUGGUAAAUUUUCAUGUUUUAUGAAUAAAUGUGUUUCAAUGAAAUUAAUUUAUAAAUGGUUUUGGAAUUAAUAAUGAUUUUGAAAAAUAGAGUACACAGAGACUGUGAAUUGUUGCAAUUCUAUUGUUUAAAUUGAUUGGCUUAUGUUAAAUUAGGCAUGAUUGGCUAGUUGGCAAUUGUUUUGAAAUGUGAAUUACAAAAGUUGCCAUAUCAUGUUAUUGAGUUUUAUUGUAUGGUGGAUUAUAUAUUAAUUAAUCACUGUAGUAGGGGGUUUCUGUGGACCAGCCUAUUAGAGGGCCACGGUAAACCCCAUUAUAUUCUUACCUCGAACGGAGAGGCACUUAGGGUAUCUCCUGGGGUAAAGCUUAGGGUUCACUUCACCCUAAACCACCACGUGAGGGAGAGCUCAGCCAACGCCAAGGAACGGCUAUGUUUUCAAAACAAAAACAUGAUUUAUGUGAAAUGUGAAUUUUAAUAGCCUUGGCGGUCUCGGUAGGAUACCUCGGCCAAGGUGUCCCCGAGAAUGGAUUUAUGGCACAAGCAUAGUUUUUAUGAGAUUCAUAAGCCUCUUUACGUGUUUUGAACGAAAUGUGUUCUAAUGCUAUAACCCAGUUUAUGAUGAUUUACUUUAUUAUCUCCAUGUACUCAACUCUAGAUGUUUAUGAUGAUGUCUGUUUACUCAUUGGGAUUUUAUAAUCUCAUCACCGUCCUUUUCACCCAUUUCAGGUUCAGUAUAGACUGUAGAUAGCUGAUCUCAUCGAGGACUACCGUGGGAUCUGCAUUUUCUAAACCGUAGGUUCACAGUCCUCUUUACUUUUGUUUAUUCGGGGGCCCUCUUGUUAUUGUAAAUUAAAUUAAAUAUUUUGGCUUACUGUAUUUCAG